UACGUAGGGUGCAAGCGUUGUUCGGAAUUACUGGGCGUAAAGGGCUCGUAGGCGGCCAACUAAGUCAGACGUGAAAUCCCCAGGCUCAACCUGGGAACUGCGUCUGAUACUGGAUGGCUUGAAUCCGGGAGAGGGAUGCAGAAUUCCAGGUGUAGCGGUGAAAUGCGUAGAUAUCUGGAGGAAUACCGGUGGCGAAGGCGGCAUCCUGGACCGGCAUUGACGCUGAGGAGCGAAAGCCAGGGGAGCAAAGCGGG
rnacentral:rRNA from 1 species